AUUAUUCAAUACAUCUUCUUUCUCCUCGUUUUUCCUCCCUAGAAACGUGAACUCCUUCCUCCAUCUUUCUCUAUCAUAUUUCUUCUUCUAGUUUUGUUAAGUUUGUCGGCAAUCGGGCAUGUAAUUGGUGAAAUAUUUAAUCAAGGCAAAAGAGCCAAUUUUACGAAGUAGACACAGAAUGCACUUGGAAGAUAGCGAAAUAUCAAGGUGAAUUAGGCGAAUAUUCUUAAGCUUGCAAGAUGUAAUAAAUAUGGAGGAAGACCAGACGGUCUGCGGCUGCCCUCAAAGGGACUGACUACUGAGGAUUGAAGAGAGAGACCUUGGGUUUCAAAUUUUUUUUCAAACGAAAAAUAACAAGAUAAAACGAUAAACAUGUUUUAAGGACCUAUUUCCCUAACGAACCGACAAAACGAAAAAUAACAAGAUAAGAGAAUCUGACGUCUGUGAGGGUCGGCGGGGAUAAGGAUUUGAGUGACUGUGCGCGGGUUCCAACCCGUCGGGCAACAGCUACAAAUCAGAUAUACGUUCCGGCUGUGCGCGGAUGAAUUCCGUCGGGCAGUGGAUUCCGUCGGGCAGUAGGUAGCAUAGGGAAUUAUGGAUUCAAAGCAUUACGUAAGGAAUUUGGCCAAAAUAAUAUAUUCAUUAAUUGAUUAAAAUUAUAACAAGCUCUCCUAUUUAUAAUACUAGAAUAUCCAUACCUAACUUUUCAAACAAGAAACAAAUACCUAUACAUAUAUAGAAAAGAUACGGUGAAUUAAGAGAUAACUAUUAAUUUAGAGAUCCUAUAUAGUAUGCAUAAUUGCGUAUCACAUGAUUAUCACCAAGUUAAUAUAAGAUUUGAUUUAAGAGAUUUAAAUAUUACUCGAUUCCAUAAUUGUCAUAAUAUUUAAAUAAUUAAAUCUAUGGUGUAUUUUCGUUGUUAUAAAAUAAUCUUAUGAAAAUAAGAAAAUUAAAAAUGGAAAAAUUUCAUCAUAUUUCUAAGGUUCUCAUUUUUUUUCAAUGUACUCUAUCUAGCACAAAAAUAUGAAAAGAUGAGGAAAAAUAUGAAAAGCAUCUAUAUAUGAGAUAAUUUGAUAGUUUUAGCACAACUCAAAGUAAAAAUGAGGGAAGUAUGUUGCUGUGCUUUCUCAGGAAAAAUUAUCCAUGCGAGAUAACAUGUAUACAUUUGGCUCAAAUUUGCUACUCUCUAGUCUCUACAAAAGAUUGGUCCUUUGAUUGGUCAUUCGCAUUUACUACUUCUGUCCAACUAUUUUUUGAA